rnacentral:misc_RNA from 1 species
AAUUAUUUUAAUCUGUACGGUUUACAAUGAUGAGAUUGGAAAUUGUGACCAUCCAUCCAUCCAUCCCCUUGGUGUGAAUAAGAGGGGAAAGAAAAACGCUCAUGAGAGAGUGUAGGGCUUUUUUCCCAUCCAAAUGGUCCUAUAUCAUCUAACUACAAUGAUUUUGCUCCUGCCCUUUGCUGGGCCCACAUGUGCAAUUUUUUUAAUAUAGAAAAUCAGUUGCUCUUUUAGUGCAGAGCAUAUAAUAAUUUGCCAAUUCAUCGGUUUGGACUGCAAGCUAUUGCUGUAAAACCAUGCAGCUAAGCUAUUGUUGCAAGUGCACCUGCAAGAAAAGGCAAAAGAUGAUGAAAAAAUUGUUUUGUAAGGCAUUGAGGAAGAAUUAGAGCGGUGAGUAGAAAUGAAAAAGGAGAUUCCCUAAUUAAGGAAUUGAUGUGUUGGUUAAAGUUGCAGAAAUAUAGGGACACUUUUCGAUAUUACCAUAAUACUGAAAUGGAACAAAAGUUGGGAAUCUACAAGUCAUUUAAGAGAGAGAGAGAGAGAAGCAGCCUGAGGAAAUGACCAGAAGAGCCCUCCACUUGGUCACCAUCAUUUGAGGUCAUAGAUGCAGCAGGAGCAGCAGCAGCUCUUUUUUUUUUUUUUUAGGAAUUUAUAAAAACUGAAUCCA